CCGUAAUAAAAAUUUUACCUAUACAUAAUUAAGUCUAAAUUUCGUAUUGUAAUAAAGUUAAUAUUGCCGUCAUGUAAUCAUAAUAAUAUAAAUAUUUUAAGUCUCUCUACGACGACACGAGCAGGCUGUCGCUAAUGUAUAUUUUUGUACAUGUUAAUAUUAUAAUGUACACGAAUAAAGUAUAAUGUUUUUUUGGAAGUCAAACGCGCGCGCGUGCAUUUCUAUGUGCGUGUCUGUGUGAGUGUGUGCGUAUGUGUGUGUGUGUGUGUGUGUGUGUGCGUGUGUACGAUAUUAUUGAAAAAAAAAAAAAAAAAUGAAAAUGAAAAAUAACGAAAACAGUAUUAUACAAACAUAAUAUUGUUGCGCCAUUCGUCGGACGUUUCGCGGCGGCCACCUGUACACGUCGUCAUCGUCGUCGGAGAGAAUUUUUUUAUUUUUUCACAAUGGCGUCGCGGCGGCACAAAAGGAUUUAAAUAUCACGCGUUCGGAGUACAUACCUAUAUAUAUAUAUAUGUGUGUGUAAUUUUUGACGCAGUGACGUGGCUAUUGGGGGUGGGGGAAAAGGGCCACCUGUUCGAACGACGUCAAAGUUUUUUUGUUUUUUUUGUUUUUCGAAGAUAAAAUCUUUCGGAUGGACGAGCGUUUGAACACUCGGAUUGGACACAUGAGAUGAUUUCCGAACAUGCGACACGGUCACGGAUUAGGGAGCAACGCGCGGGGUAACAUAGUGGACCCGAUAAAGACAAAUUACAAAAAUUGUGUAGACGUUAUAAUUGUAUUUGUACACAAUAUAAACCGCACGGCUAGGAUGACGAAGCAUUUGGGAAAAGUUAAUUUGGUUUUCUUAAGUCAUUUUCGUCAUUUCAGCAGUUAUGCGCCCGUAAUUGGUUGUACCCGUAAACCCGAAUGUCGAACGUAAUAUGAAAUCGAACGAAAACUUUUUGCUUUUUUUUUACUUAUAGACGUGUAGACCGGGGUUCCUCUAUGCGUGAAACCGUUCGGGUUUUCGGGGUCAGCAGCUUGCGAUGUAGCCACGUCACUGCGGAUAACGUGACGAUUCGUCGUCCCGGACGUUAUUUUACAUUAGUAUAAACCGAUUAAACCGCGUGAAUCUCGACGGCGGAGGGAGUGAAAUAGAUAAAAAAAAAAUCGCCUGAAAAUCGCGGACCGCCGAAAUCAUAUUCCCCGUCGACGAUAACGUACCGACGCCUACGAGACUUUCG